GUGCCAGCAGCCGCGGUAAUACAGAGGGUGCGAGCGUUGUCCGGAAUCACUGGGCGUAAAGGGCGCGUAGGCGGCUUGAUAAGCGUGCGGUGAAAGCCCGGGGCUCAACCCCGGGUCGGCCGUGCGAACUGUCGAGCUGGAGCACUGUAGAGGCAGGUGGAAUUCCGGGUGUAGCGGUGGAAUGCGUAGAGAUCCGGAAGAACACCGGUGGCGAAGGCGGCCUGCUGGGCAGUGGCUGACGCUGAGGCGCGACAGCGUGGGGAGCAAACAGGAUUAGAAACCCCCGUAGUCC
rnacentral:rRNA from 1 species